UAAGAAAACUUAAAAAGUUCAUAUUUUAUUCUAAAACAUAUUUAAUGAGCUUAAUGUCCAACUAUUGUCACUUCUACAGCAGAAUGUUUGCCCACUAUGAACACUAUAUAAAUAGAAAAAGAAAAUAAUUAAAGCCGACAUCAGUAAUUAUCAGCCAAACAAAUGGUUACGGUGUGUGACUAUUGUGAACAAUUCUGGCUUCAAGCUUCUGGAUUGUCACUGAAAGACAUCAAGAAACUGCUCUACUGCAGCGAGUGUCCAGCGUAAAACAAAACCAGAUCUUACGUGAGCAUAAACACAUUCACAAACAGAAUUUCCUCAACGUCUGGACAGCAUUACGUGGUGUGUGGAGAGGACCCCGCCUCCCUCCACACAUCCCCUCGCCCUAAUUAUCGUCUGCAUCAUUGGAGACCGAGCGCUCUCAAGGACUCGUUUUAUCACUAAUGUGGCGGCAGCACAAACGCAGCGCCGCUCAGCCACAGUGACAGGACGACUUUCUGCAACAUGAAAUCUACAACGACACGACCGAUAAGAAGAGCAUAAAGGAGGCUUUUUUUAAUGUAACAUUUGAUUUUACAUGAUGAUGAUGAUGAUGAUGAUGAUGGACAACAAAAGACCGCUGUGGGAACUAUAAGCAGUGUUCACCACAAAUGACGGGGAGCUGAGUAUCAUGUGAUGGCGCUUUGAACUCUCCCCAUGAAGUCGGGAGAAGAAGGAAGCGCAGCGGAAACGCAGAGACCCACCCGAUAAACAGACAGACGGGGUAAUGUUGUCGAAGGCGUGCCCAGUCGCCGUGCCGACAGGAACAGGGCGUUGGGCAGCGUAUGAACCGUGGCAGGAAAACAACAGGAGCUGCUCACCAAAUACGUUUGUGUUGGCUGGAAGCUAGCUGCUGAUCUGCGGAGCCAUCGGGGGAGGAAGAGGGAUGCUGGGAAGAGGAAUAAUGAGGUGAGUUGAGCUGGAAGUGCUGUAAUAUGUUUGUACCUCCUCUCGUUUGCUCGCAGACGCUGCCAAGCAACCUGGAAACAUUUUCCAUGAUCAUUCAGAGGAAACAACCUCACCAUGAACCCAAAUUAAAGAGCCCAUAUUAUGCUCAAUUUACAGUGUGCAGUGUUAUUUUGGCAGUCCACAGAGAGAGUUUACCUCCUUUAAUGUUAGGGGGGGAGGGAAUAAAAUAAAAUAAAGCGGUUUUGCUGUUGCACAUCUUCUCACCAAUUAAUAACAUUCUUUGUUCCUAAAGGCCAAAAAAAAAAAACAUAAUUUGCCUCCCUAACAUUAUUAAUGGUAAAAAAAAAAACAAAAAAAAAACCUGUAUGAUAAAGACCACAGUCACAACCUUGUUGUGUUUUAUAGUCACAAUUGUGUUAUUGUUUGCAUUUUCUUAAAAGUGCAAACAAUAAAAUUCAAUGGCACGACAAUAUCUCGAAAAGGUGUUAUCGUAACAAUCUCGAUACUAUCACCGUCUUCAACGCAUAAGCAGACUCAGACCUGACUCUAAAGGAAGCAGAAAUGCUAAAGAUGAGUCAGGUAGUUUGGAAAGGAAAUGGCAUCAGCAAGAAGAGAUGGUAAUUGUUAGUCCAAAUUAAUUUAGUUCAUUCAGCGUUCACCGGUGGUUUCCUAUUGCUGGUGAUUCACGGCAUCCUGCAGUCACACUCAGUGCGUAAAAGAGCAGCAGCAUUAUGGCUGCAGCAGCAUUAUCAAGUACAGCCAGUAAAAUGAAAUGACGUGGAGCAAAGCUUCCUGUUUCAUGGUGAGUGAAACUAGAAAUCAGCAGGAAUUAUGAGACCCUUUCCAAA